rnacentral:rRNA from 1 species
UACAGAGGUCCCGAGCGUUGUUCGGAUUCACUGGGCGUAAAGGGUGCGUAGGUGGUGAGGUAAGUCGGAUGUGAAAUCUCCGGGCCUCAACCCGGAAAUGGCAUUGGAAACUACCUUGCUGGAGGAUUUGAGGGGGGAUUGGAAUACUUGGUGUAGCAGUGAAAUGCGCAGAUAUCAGGAGGAACACCGAUGGCGAAGGCAGGUCUCUGGGCAUUAACUGACGCUGAGGAGCGGAA